UACGGGGGGGGCAAGCGUUGUUCGGAAUUACUGGGCGUAAAGGGCUCGUAGGCGGCCAACUAAGUCAGACGUGAAAUCCCUCGGCUUAACCGGGGAACUGCGUCUGAUACUGGAUGGCUUGAGAUUGGGAGAGGGAUGCGGAAUUCCAGGUGUAGCGGUGAAAUGCGUAGAUAUCUGGAGGAACACCGGUGGCGAAGGCGGGUCUCUGGGCCGAAAUUGACGCUGAGGAGCGAAAGCGUGGGGAGCAAACAGG
rnacentral:rRNA from 1 species